UGCUGCUAAGCAAUCAGAGAGAGGAAUGUGAGGCACCUCCUGUAUCUUCCCUGCUGAAGAGAUUCGCUCUCUUCCAACAAAAACAUCUUGCAGUGAAAUGCUCCUGAUCAGCUGGCAGACCACCCUGACCCUGGAGGGGAUCCUCCCAGAGCACUGGAAAAAACAGGAGAAGCUCAUUGUUGCUGCUAGCUUGACACAGGAUGUAGGACCAUUGUUUUAAUCUGCAUCUGCCAUGAUCCUGACGGGUAAACAGUGUGAAGAUGUUUUUUUUUCCUACAGAAUUAGGGCUUCUUUUUUCAGUACUGGAAUAACAGAGUACAGGACUCGGCAAAUCCAUAUAUACUUUGAUGGGGGAAUUGUAAGUAAUUAAGGAACAUGAAUUUUAUACUAAAUAAAUAAAUUGGCAUAAUGAUUAUUGCUAUUUAUACUUCUUUUACAAGAUUGUGAAGGACUGUGGAAGUGGUGAACAUAUUUGAUUACUGCUUGUAAUUUUUUUGUAUUUACGUUA